rnacentral:rRNA from 1 species
GACGAACGCUGGCGGCGUGCCUAAUACAUGCAAGUCGAACGCAUUUUCUUUCACCGUAGCUUGCUACACCGAAAGAAAAUGAGUGGCGAACGGGUGAGUAACACGUGGGUAACCUGCCCAUCAGCGGGGGAUAACACUUGGAAACAGGUGCUAAUACCGCAUGACAAUAGGGUACACAUGUACCCUAUUUAAAAGGGGUAAAUGCUUCACUAUGAGAUGGACCUGCGUUGUAUUAGCUAGUUGGUAAGGUAACGGCUUACCAAGGCGACGAUACAUAGCCGACCUGAGAGGGUGAUCGGCCACACUGGGACUGGGACACGGCCCAG